AUGCAUGUCAUUAAGUUUGUGAGUUCUUUCCACUAUAGUUGGUACCUUUAAGUCUUUCCUCUCUCUCUUUGCACCGAUCUGUGCAUAUCUAAUAGUAAUCUUAUCUGUCUUACACUGUAAAAUGUAAUAUUGUGUUUAAUUAAAAAUAUUAAAUAGGCUGAACUCAAUUUUUAUCAAUUUGUUAUUAGAACUCAAUUUAAAUAAGUUACCAGUACUUUUUAUGCAAAAAUGCUGAUAAACUCGAUUAAUUUGAGUUGUCCUAACUUAGAAAAACUAAGUAAGCUGGAAGUUUUGCUUCUCAGGGCGGAAGGAUGAAAGAUGUGUUUUGAAAAUGCCACGUGACUACCGUUCUCCUCCCUCCCGGAUCAGUCCGCAUGUUCAUGGCGCCAGCAUUUGUUAUGGAAUAUAUUGAGCAAACCUGGAGAUAUUAUUGUUGUCAUUGCUGUGGAUCUUUACUGACUUGGGUCGGGACCAGCACUCCUGCUGUUGGACAGAAAGACAUCAACUUGAGAUAUGACUCCAC